UGCCUGGCAGGCUCUGAGACUUGGCCGGCCCUGGUCUUCAGUCUCACCUGGCUGAGCUGGCUGCCUGCACUUGUCCCCUGCAGUGGUUUCUGCACCACCAGGCCUUCUCCACAGCCCAGAGCCAGGUGGGGGUGAGAAUGGCUUCUGUGGGGCCUGCUGUGGCCUGAUUAGUCUGUUUGGUAGAUGUACUGUCCUCCAGGCCUUGAGCUGAUCUAGGCUGGGCUGUCUGUCACAGCUCUUCUCACUUGGAAGACUGUGACCACACAGACCUCUGGACCUAUGCCAGAGUCCCAGAUGCAGUGGAAUCUACAUUUCUGCUCUGAUGCUGCCGGUCUGAGGGCUUAUACCUGAGGGUUUCUGAGUCCACUGGGGGAUGCCAGGCCCCUUCUUGCAGCACCACCUUCAUCUGAGUUCUCUGUGCCCCAUCAGGUAAGACCCUAUCACUCUUCUCAUAGACCCCAUAGAAGCUUUUCCAGGUUUUAUUUUUAGCCGUUUAUUUCCAGCGCCCUACUCCAGUGUGAAGAGCGGUGCCAGGAGGCGCUCAUUCUCACAGGCUGUCUGCUGAAACCCCUGGCAUCCUCGCCAAGUGCGUGUGUACUGGCAUUAAUGUUGGACACGUAGGACACAUGUGGUGCUGUGUCCCUUGCUCCUCCUCUUCCUUUAUCCGUUGCCCUCAGCCACAAGACUGGCACAAUCAUGAAAAUCCUCAAAGAUGUCCGGUAUGCACCUGUUGGUGAAGUCUCUGAAGUAGGAGCUGCCCCUGAAGUGGGAUUGCUGGCUCACAGUUGCCUCAAGCAAGGAAAUGGAAGAGAUGCUUCGUAUUUCUGUAAGACAGAGUGGAAGGUCAUCUCCCAGCAUGGCCCAGUGAAACCACAGUCGGUCUUCCAGGAGAAGUUCUUCACCUGAUGUUUCAACUCACACCUCCAGCUAUAUCUAGUCAGCAAUUAACUCCACAGACAGACGUUUUUGUGCUCAUAUUUUUCAAGACCAGUAUUUUAACUUAGUUCUUCGUUAAAAACACUUCCGUCUCUAUUUCAUGGCAUCAAUGUCUUCUCUUACCUCUUCAAGAAUAUUUAUUAAAGUUCUUUAUCUGUCUUGGUCUAUUAAUUCCUCUCCAUCUGAUGGCAGUUGUGCAAUGUAUGACCUGCUAUCAUGUUGGCUGUUGUCCUCAGUUGCUUCUUCUCCCCCACCUUGUGAGCUCAAUUGUUAAUGGUCUACAUACCCUGACAAACAAUAUCUGUACAGGAGAAUGUGAUAGAGCCUAGGAUCUGGCUUUUGCACAUCCUGGUGAUUUUAAAUAGGGGCUAACACUACCAAGUGGAAAGGCUCUGGCGUUCAAGUGCAGACCAGGUUGGAGGCAGCCCUGGUUUGAGGGCUAGGAAACCUCCUUUAUCCUGCCCCUGGAUCUGCUUUCUCCAAAUGGUUUUGUUUGUAUUUUGAUUAUGAUCCGAUAACUCUUGGGCAUUCCAGGUGGGACAGGGAGAUAAAGUUCCCGUGGGCCGUGUGGUCUCCCUGUGCUGCAGCCAGGACUUCCUCCGUCCACGGGAACACUGCCACCGCCUCAGUGUGACCUUCCACCCCUAGAGCCGUCACUUCUGCAGCUCACAGCUGGAACAGGCCAUAGUUUGAGUCUCUCUGGAUAGUGAGCCAGAUCUGCACCUCGAUUGUUCUCUGACCUUUGUGUCUGGUCUUCUGCCAUGGAGCCUCUGUCUUCGCACAGCAGGCGACAGCCUCCUUCUGGGCUCCCAGGCCCUCUCACAGUGUCCACACUAGUACAUCUCUGUCUCUCCAAACACUUCACUGUGCCCUCAACACCUGCGGGUUCUGGAUACACUGUAAGAAACUGGGUGCAAUCCCAGCUCUAAUAAGAACACUCGGAGGGCUGGCCUGUGAGCACAGAGCAGGCAGGGAAGAAGCAGACGGCUCCACCUGGACGCCCGUCCACCUGUGCUCUCCGCUCACCCUCUGGACGCUUUUGGAUUUUUCUUCUCUGAAGGACAAAGAAUCUCUCCCAAAUUAGGACAGAAGCAUGCUGGCAAAAAGUGAAACCGUUCCUCUUUGCUCUGAUUUAUCAUGGGCAGCUGCUUGCUUCCUCCAGCACAUACCACAAAUGCCAGAGGACAGCAAAUGUUGUCCUGAAGCCACUCAGAGCACAAACUCCCUCUUUUGAUGCAGUCAGGGAUCCUGAGCUUUCAGGAAUGGGGCCAUCUCGCUUUGCACACUUUCACAGUCCUUGCUGCAGCGAGGCAGUUUGGUCUCCAGCAAGGUUGGUAAGGUGCUCAGCUUGCCUACAAGCUAAUACAUGGCAUGUUGUGACAGAGAAACUCACUCAUUCAGCAAAUGUUUAAUCCAAUAGGCAGUUUCUUAGACCUUGGGAAACAGUAGUGCAAAAUGGGUAAUGGACUUUACCUAUUAGGGAGGAGAGGCUGAGAGUAACAUCGAAGACUCUCAAAGAUGACUAGUUCAUCCAGAGACAAGUGCAAAGGAGGAAAUAAAAGUAGAUUGUGUAAUCAAGAGGGAUGCAAAGCUGGGGCUGAGUUAGCGGUCUGCAAGUAGCCAAGAACGUCUGUUUUAGAAAGUUGGGAGUGCUCUGACCUUUGCAAAGUGAAGGACAGGCCACUAAAAAAAGCCAGGGGGAAACAUUCCUGGCAGCAGACACGGAGAGCUGUUCCUGAGCUGUGAUCAGCCUUGGUCUGUUUGAGCAACAGAAAGGGGUCAUUGUGUUUGGAAGCAGGUGAGCAAAGGAGUAAGAGUUGACAUCCAAGAAGUGAGCAGCAACAAAUUGUGCAAGAAAAGGAUUCCAUUUUUUCCCCAAGUGCAAUAAAAACCCACUGGAGAAUUUCUGUUCUUCCUUGACUGGAAUACCCCUCUGGGCGAUGUGCAGAUUGUAGGGUAAAGAAUGAAAGCUGGGUGCUCGGUCAGGAGGCUGCUGCCAUGUGGUACGUAAGAGACGGUGCUGGUUCAGAUUCUAUUGGUGACAAUGUAGACAGAACAAAAUGGACAGAUUAAAGAGAGGUUUUGGAGUUGUGCUUGCAAAGACUUUUCACGGAUGAAUGAAGUGGAUGAUCCCAGGGUUCAGAGAUGACCUAACUGAAUGAUGUCAUCACUUCCUGAGAUGGUGAUGUCCACGGAAGUAACAUGUUUGGUGGGUCAAAAUCCAGCAUUAUGAUUCUGUUAUACUUGAUGUAUCUGUUAGUCAUGCUGGAGAUGGAUGUUCGGUAGGGCUCUGCCAUCCGUACCAGCAUCAGUACAGGAGUGGAGGGGCUCUGGGGUGGACCU